rnacentral:rRNA from 1 species
UACGUAGGGACCAAGCGUUGUUCGGAUUUACUGGGCGUAAAGGGCGCGUAGGCGGCUUAACAAGUCACUUGUGAAAUCUCUGGGCUUAACCCAGAACGGCCAAGUGAAACUGUUAUGCUAGAGUGCAGAAGGGGCAAUCGGAAUUCUUGGUGUAGCGGUGAAAUGCGUAGAUAUCAAGAGGAACACCUGAGGUGAAGACGGGUUGCUGGGCUGACACUGACGCUGAGGCGCGAAAGCCAGGGGAGCAAAC